rnacentral:rRNA from 1 species
AUGGACGCUGGCGGCGUGCCUAAUACCUGCAAGUCGAGCGAACAGACGAGGAGCUUGCUCCUUUGACGUUAGCGGCGGACGGGUGAGUAACACGUGGGUAACCUACCUAUAAGACUGGGAUAACUUCGGGAAACCGGAGCUAAUACCGGAUAAUAUUUCGAACCGCAUGGUUCGAUAGUGAAAGAUGGCUUUGCUAUCACUUAUAGAUGGACCUGCGCCGUAUUAGCUAGUUGGUAAGGUAACGGCUUACCAAGGCAACGAUACGUAGCCGACCUGAGAGGGUGAUCGGCCACACUGGAACUGAGACACGGUCCAGACUCCUACGGGAGGCAGCAGUAGGGAAUCUUCCGCAAUGGGCGAAAGCCUGACGGAGCAACGCCGCGUGAGUGAUGAAGGUCUUCGGAUCGUAAAACUCUGUUAUUAGGGAAGAACAAACGUGUAAGUAACUGUGCACGUCUUGACGGUACCUAAUCAGAAAGCCACGGCUAACUACGUG